rnacentral:tRNA from 1 species
GCUGGGCAGUGGUUAAGUGCUUGGCUGCUAACCAAAAGGUCGGUGGUUCGAACCCACCCAGCA